AGUCACAGCCUCAGCCGCAGCGGCCGUGCUACCUAGGUGAUAGCGGAGCGGCUGGGUAGGAAGCAAUUGUUCUCAAACUUCACUAGCCCCGUCGGCGCGGACGCUUGUCGAGAAUGCAGAUUCCUGGGUACUGCCAGAUACGGCUAGGAAUUAUCUGUGAAUGUAGGACCACUGGAUUUGCAGUCUUCAUCUGACACUGUGGAGAGUUUCUAGGAAUGAAACAGAUAUAUGGCCUUGGGUCCCCUUUUUUUUUCUUUUUUUUUUUUUUAAUAGAGACGAGCAUCUCACUAUGUUGCCUAGGGUAGUCUUGAACUCCUGGCCUCAAGCAAUCCCCACCCGACUCCGCCUCUCGAAGUGAUGGGAUUACAGGCAUAAACCACCACGCCUGGCCAGAAGGUGCUUUAACACCAAAUCUGAAAAUUGUUCAGAAGAGAAACAUUGAGCAUGAACACCAUCUGUGCGAGUCAUUUACUUAUUGCCCCUCACCUCUAAAUCUACCUUCUGUACUCUUCUUCCCUGUAAUGAUGGGGCUAGUUGUCCUCAAACUGUUUCUCAGACUUCUUUUUAAGCUUGCUUCCUGUUCAGUUCUGCCAAUAGGGGUCACUAGAGAGAGACUGGGAGGCAGAAGGAGAGAAUAUGCUUCCUGUUUUUUCUGUUCUUGUUAAUGUUGCUUACAGGACCAGCAAUGCUUCUUCACCUAGAGACACUUCUCCCAGCAGUGGCAGUGCCACUUCAGCUUCUUUCAGCACUACUGGAAUCAGCCUCAGUGAUUCCCCCUGUACCCGCUCAGAGAUUAUCCACAGCAGCCAGAUGGUUCUACCUUCCACAAAGAUUGUGGUUGCAAUUCUGGGCUUCUAAGUUCUGGUUACUUCAUAUUUUUCCUUUUGUUCCUCCAGCCCUAGAGGUGGUAGCUGCUUUCUGAAGUUAUUAUUUCUAGAUGACUUUUGGUUUUUCAGCCUUUGUAUUUUGCUUUUCAGCCCUCUAAUGCCUGUAUAACCAAUUUCCCUGUAAUAAAUAAAUUUCCUCCAUUG
rnacentral:lncRNA from 10 species